rnacentral:lncRNA from 1 species
GCUGAGCUAUGUCUAUAUUUACAUCUCUACCUACAGAUGAUAUCUUGUCUAUAUCUGUAUCCACACACACACAAGACAGGGCAGGGUGCGAGAACUCUGAAGGUCUGGAAACAAGCCUUGAUUAUUUCUAGGAACAUAUAUGGGCCGAGCACUGUGUGUGUGUUUCCCCCGAGGAUGUUGGGUCAUUUCCAGUCUUCUGCAGCUGGCAUUCUUAUCGGCUGCUCCUAGAAGAGAGAGGUCGAGAGGGAGAAGCCCCCACCCAGCGUGCUGUCAACAGGACUCCGCUUGGCUUCCCACUGCUCCAGUUCUAUCCGCGUAGCAACGAGUCAGUUUACAGAUGAGCUUUGAGAGCUCUUGUGCCUUCACAAAGGGCCAAAUGGCAGUAAGAAUCAUAAGUUCUGCAGACCUGAAGCAGAGGUCAGGAGAGUCUAGGUUGGUAGUUUGGUUGGGAAGAGCUGCUGAAAACAGAAAGUGGGAGGGAAGGACGCUGUGGGGGCAGUGGCUGUGGAGAGCAGCGCUGCCUGCCUCCUGGCUUCAUCUGCAAGUUUCUCUCGCUGCAGAAGUCAGGCAUGCCUACUGAUGGAGCUCCUACUUCUGCCCCAAGCCCAUUGGCUUCCUCUUUCUGAGUUGCUCAUGGGGUUCAGUCAG